rnacentral:lncRNA from 1 species
UCUAUCUCAAUAUAUCGUAUCAAUCAUCUCAACUUAACUCAUACAAGUAUUAUAUUCUUACCUCAUGACUAAGUCAUGCAAUUUAACAUGAAUAAGCAAUAAUUAAAUUGAAUCGAAUCGUAGAAAUACAAAUUGAAAGCUUGCACACUCAUCGUCGACUCUCUCCUUUCCUUUCUCUCUCGACAGUCCUGCGUCGUCUUUAACUACAAAUAAUAGUUCAAUAAUAAUCCAAUAUCAAAUUCCAUAUCAAAAUACAUUCAAUUUCACAGCAUAUAUAUUUUACAAUUUAUUCAAUUUAAUCCAAAAAAGCGGGACAAGCACAACUUCCAAUUUAAAACUCCAAAUUGAAAAUCUAUUUCACUAUUACCCAUUAGAGACCUCCUAAUUCUUAUUCCUACAAUAAAUUUUACAUUUGAUUCAAUUUGGUCCUUAUGAACAAAACUAACAAUUAAAUUUUACAAUCUAGUCAUUUUUCUCAUCUAAGCUUAAAAUCUAUUAAUUUAACACCAAUUUCUUUAAGAAAUUAGCAAUGACAACUUUUAAAAACUUUAACAAUUUUGCAAAUUGGUACAUGAGCUAGCUAAAUCAAACUCUCACAACUUCAAAAACAUAAAAAUUAUAAGAAAAUGAAUUGAAAACUUACCAAUUUGAAAGGCUGAAUAGUUUGAAACUGAAAACUCUUUUCUCUUUUUUCU